rnacentral:lncRNA from 1 species
CGGAGGCAGCGUGCAGGGCUGGCGCUCACGCAGGCCGCCAGCACCCUGCGCUCCACCCCACCCUGCUCCCUAAUGAGAAGAGAGGAGCUGAACCCAGACAGCCGCUCCCUGUUGACGCCUUAGGCGUUUCAAAACUAGACUGGCCGGAGCCGAUGGAAUGUCUUGGACCAUCCAUUUCUCUAAGACUCAAUGAUAUGUCCUAGAAGAUCUUUGGCCAAAUGUCAGACUUAUAUCUUACAGAUCCCAGAGUAGGGAGUAAGUACUACAGCUUCUAAAAUGCUCUCACUCACAUGCUUCAUCAAUGCAAAUGACAGUUCGAAAGACCAAGAGCUUUUGGAUUCUACUUGGACUUCUUUUGAAAGGAGACUUGGGCUCAUCCUGCUGGCCUCUGCCCUCUGCUAACCUCCCAGGACUCCUGACUGGGCCUAUGCUGGAUACCAACCAUACAAGAUGAAUGUCUUGCCAAGCUGGAUGUGGAAGUAUAUUUGGUCCUUUGAAGGUUAAUGAUCAAUCCAGACCACAAAUGGAUGACAGUCAAAC